ensembl:lincRNA
AUGAUAAUGAAGACAAUGGUUGAUGAUGGCCAGCUCCUGGCAUGCUGUAGCCAAUUCUUCUUUGAAGAGAAUGAUGAAGCAAUUUGCCCACGCCAUUUGGUGAGUAGAUGGUGGACCCAAGAUUUGAACCAUCUCCCAUAUCUUGUGCAUCAUGGAUUUCCCACAAGGACCAUGUUCUGUGUACCAAGUGAGCUCUCUUCCUCCCCUGAGGUUGCACUCACUAGGGUUUUGAUCAUCCCAGACAAGGCAUUUUGUGUUCCCCCUCUACCCAUCCGCCAACCACCUCACCUGCCACCCCCAGUACAUUCAUUCUUCCCUCUCCCAAACUGUGGUUCUGGACCUAGGGAACUAAAUCUAUCCCUAAUGGCUAAUACCUCGGUAAGCAUGAAAGCACUUUUGCUGUCGUUGGAUGCUAAUUUUGUUGGAGGUGUUUGGGCGAUGUUCUCAACCCUAGCACUUGGCAUCUGGAAGCCCUUCCAUAUGUCAAAACCUUUCAGUGUAAAAUGAAAAGGCUUGCAUGGCUGGGGUGGUGGGGUACGCCCCCCCGUCCACGUGACCCCCAUUUGCAGUUGGUUCCACACGUGGUUCUGUAUCCCUGAGCUCCACCGAAACCCCCACCGGCUGCGCAACAGGGAACGCCUGGCAAAGUGGUUAGCCAUGGUGUCUCUGUCCGUGACCUUGGCCUCUAUGGCCUGCAGGCCCAGCAGCUGCCCCAACAUCUCCGCUGGUUGGAACCCGACUUCCUCAGGUGGGUUUCCUCCAAGCUUCAUCAUGUCAGAUUCAAAGGCCGCUGCUGAGAACCCCCACAAGAAGACCAGGACCUCUCCAUACCCUGGUUCCAAAGUGGAGGGAAGCCAGGUCCCGGACAAGAAGGUAAGCUGGCAGGCUGAGUGGCUGGAGUACAAGCCUGUCCAGUACACAGCCAGUUCUGUCUUGACCUGGUCCAUGUGGGCAGACCCUCUGGUGGGUGACAGGAACUUCUCUUCUAAAUUCAAUGAGGAGGGUGGGCAUGUUGAAAGAAGGAGCCAAAAUGGUUUGUAUGAGGUGGAGAAUGGCAGGCAUAGAAAUCCCGCAGGUUGGCCAGUGCUGGUGGGCAGAGGGCUUCUAGGGUGGUGGGGUCCCAAUUAGGCUGCAGAUCCCAUCUUAACUAAGUGGAAAAAUGAUAGCAAGGGGAAGAAAAUUAUCCAUCCUGCUUCUAAGAGGAUUGUCCUGCAAUUUGUAGCCAUCAAAAGGAAGGACUGUGGAGAAUGGACCAUCCCAGGGGAAAUGGUGGAGCCAGGAAAGAAAAUUAGUACCAUACUGAAGACAGAAUUUGGGGAGGAAGCCAUGAACUCCUUAUAGAAAUCUAGAGCAAAGACUUCGGAGCUGGAGAAACAGCUGCACAAACUAUUCGAUCAGUAACACUUGGUGUCUAUAAAGGUUACAUGGAUGAUCCCCGCAACACAGAUAACUCGUGAAUGGAGACAGAGGCUGUGAACUACCACGAUGAUACAGGUGAGAUAACCGACUGUCUUCAUCUGGAAGCUGGUGAUGAUACCCAGAAAGUGAAAUGGGUAGACAUCAAUGAUCAACUCAAACUUUACGCCAGGCAGUCCCAAUUUAUUCAAUACAUGGUUGAGAAAUGAGGUGCCCAUUGGAGGGAAGGCAUGGACCCCAAUGCCAUGAAUAGUGACUUGGAGUCUCCCAAAAGCCUUCAAAUGGACAUGGGUCUAUAUGAAACAAACAGCCCGGAACCUGUGCUGAACAGGGGAUAGAGGGAACUUCUUUUGAUGAUUAUUUGCAAAACUGUCCGCCCUGUGAAGGCUUUGUGUCAGGGAAUAAUAUUUGAAAAAUACAGGCAUUCAGGAUAAAAACCAUUUUGGUUUUCCAAUUGGAAGAGGAAUAUAGUCAUUUGUUGUAUACGUUGUAUACUUGGCUGGUAAUCACAUUAUGCAACUACUGCUCUUUGAAGAGUCAUAGUUGAUACAAAGAUAACUUCUUACCAACUGUAGCCUUUUUUUUUCCAGCUAGUUUACAUUUGUCACUCCCCACCCCCCCACCCCGCCACUGAUGUGUUCGAGUGUGGUCUAAUCUAAUGUUGAACCUGAUUUUUUGGGAUAACAUUUGUUUUUCAAGUUGAGCUUCAGGUGGACUUCUAUUUAUUGCCUUCAAGAAUGAAAGCACUCUGGUUAUUCUUGUUUUUAGGAUCUUUAGUUUUAUGGGAAAAGUUUCAUCUCUAUUUUACUUAUGAAUGAGCUAGAAAAAUAAGACGCAGCAACAAAAUGAGCUUAAUAUCCAGCCCUCUGGUUACAAGAACUAUUUCUGAACAGAAUGGACUAAGCUCAGGAUAUGUGUUUCCUCUCAUCUCAGAAGACUCAAUAAAUGUGAAUUUCUGUCAUAAAGAAGUCUUUGUCAGAAGAUGUAUGUAAAUCUCAACCUAAUAAAAAUACAGUUCAUUUCUGC